rnacentral:lncRNA from 1 species
GGCAUUGGCGCAUCUGGGAACCGACGUCCGUGCGCGGCUGGCUAGAAUGCUGGACUCGCCUCCGCAGCGCUGGCCUGCAGGGAUUAGAAGACAUGUGGGGUCAAGGAACAGGAAGCUGACCUGGAUGGAAGUUGAACAGUGAUCUUUGCUCUCUGCCUGGCUCCUGAGUCCUCUGCCAUGUUCCUGGAGAAGAGGAGCCAGCCAGGUCUUCAUUCAAACCAAACCUUGGAUGGGAUCCAUCUGCCUCUGCAGGUGACCGUAACAACAUGCAAAUGGUGAGUUCUGCUGGGGGGUCAUGGAAGCUCCCUGGAGGAGGUGUAUCUGGACAACAGGGAAAGAAAGGAGCUGGAGAAGAGAGGCAGAAAAAUUGGGUCCUGGUUCAGGUGAAGUUUUCCCAGCUGGAACAAUGACAAUGUCAAUAUCCCACAAAGGCGGCUUCUGUUUAUUUAGCGCUUGCUGUGUUCCCACAAGUCUUCCUCUACCUGCCCUCUCCCCAGCCCUCAUCUCACUCUCCCAGAGCCCCAGAGCACACCAAUGGACACCAUCACCUCUCGGGCAGAUCAGCACAGAGACGUGAAGCACACAGGCAGCUGCUGGAAAAAUAACAAGGAAUUGCAAUGGUGUGCCCCUCCGUUGAAUGCAAGCUCUCUUCUGCCUUCUCACCUUGGGCAAGUUACCUUCCGUUCCAGGCCUCGGUUUCUCCAUGUGUGAAAUGAAAGGGCUGGAGAGAAAUCUCUCACUAUUCCCCAAUCUACAUUCAUUGUAUCCCAAACCUUCUAAUAUCUGUUCAACGAAGUGUACCAAAUCUCAGCUAUUGGACUGAGACUCAGGGGUCUAUCUGACUUGAAUUGAAAAUGCAAAUUACUGAAGAGGGAGGGAGGGAGGAGUGCUGAAGAUUGAAUGGAUUUAUCAGAUUUCCUUCUCCUAUGGCCCAGAUGCAGGCCUAGUCCAGGCGAUUCCCCUGGCUCAGAAUCUGCCAGGCUCAAGCAUUCAUUGACAGCCUACUAUGUACCAAUCCUGGGCUGAGUCCCAACCCGGGGAUGACUUAGAGGAGGCCAGGAUGUGGCCUCAUGUUCUGGUUGCUCUCACAUUUAAACAGGCUAAACCCACUUUGCAUUGUAUGUUAGGGGUGGUGCUUGUGGGACAAAGGGGGCUGUCAGAACAUUCUGGCUGCCACAUGAAGUUGACUUUGCCAGGACAGACUGGGUUGUGGGGGAAGGCAGCUACUGUAAUAAUUUGGCCAAGAAGUGGGCUGAGCAGGAGCAGGGCUGAGGGAGGGAGAGAGGGAAUGAGUAAGAAAGGCCCAGGGUACUGAUUUGACUGGGACUUCAGGGACAGGUGUGGGGCGAGAGGGAUGCUGGAAGUGAAGGAGGGAAAGUGCAGAGGCUUUCUGGGGAUUAAUAGGCAAUGAUCUCUAUGAGGGCGUGGUGAGUAGGCCCCAAACAUCCGGGGACUUCCCUGCCUGCCAUCCCUCUGUCUCUCUCUUCCUUUCCUACUGCCCAGGGCCUGGCCCUGCUGCACAUGCCCUGCCCUGGCCCCCAGAGUCCCCUUCUUUCCUGGCUGGGAGAUUAAGACUCUGCUGUGCCUACAGCAUUCUCAACCUCAAGUCAAGGUGGCCCUUUGGAGCCCAGGAGGCCACAUGGCUGAGUCAGGGCUGAGUCACCACCCCCCAAGGGCCUUGCCAUUUCCUGUGGAGAAGCCUCUUUACUGGCAGGGUUCUGUGCUCAGGUGGGAAAUCUGGAGAGGUCGGGGGCAGGGCUUCAUCUACUUUUACCCACUAACUCCCUAGACACUCCACUGGGGGUAGAGGGUUCCUACACGUAUGAUGAUCAAAACAUGUGUCUGUGCACAUGGGCCCUUAUGCAUUCACAGGUGUUUGCCUAUGCGACUGCAUGUCUGAAUGUUUUAUGUAUAUUUGAAUAUAGAUAGGGAACAAAUAUUUAUGGAGCACAUAUUAUGUGUGCAGCCUUUUACGUGUGUUACUUUCUAAUAACCCUAGGAGGCGUAGAUGCCUCCCAGGCUAUGGUUGAAAAUACUGACAUGCCCAAGGUGCAGGAGGUAUGAAUACCUCCCCACUGUGGCUGGUAACACCCCAGGUUUCUCCAACUCCACAGUGAUGGGCUUUCCUCCAGAGCCGGUUCCUCAGGGGCAGGAGUGAGAAGUGUGUGUGUCUGUAUUUAUCCUUCCACCAGUGGCUGUGAUUGGUCCUGUGGUUGGAAACAGGGUCAAGUAAGGCCCUUGGGAGUAGCUGGGUGAAUGGACGAUGGUGGCGUCCACCUUGGACAUGGCACAUACUUCUGGUCGGGUAUCCACGUGGCUGGCCAACCCGGACCUGCCCUAUUAGGGGCCAUCGCCCUCAUGGCUCAUCAGUGCUGAGUUUCAUUGCCUUCUUCGUAAUGCAAUACUAAUGGAUACAGGCAUGUAUCUGCCGUACACUAGAUGAAAUGUGGUUAUUUGCUCAGGUAGAAAUAAAGACUAAAAUACCAAAGUGGG